UACGGAGGGGGCGAGCGUUAUUCGGAAUUAUUGGGCGUAAAGGGCGCGUAGGCGGCUUGACAAGUCAAAGGUGAAAUCCCUCGGCUCAACUGAGGAACUGCCUUUGAAACUGUCAGGCUUGAGGCCGGGAGGGGGUAGCGGAAUUCCCAGUGUAGCGGUGAAAUGCGUAGAUAUUGGGAGGAACACCAAUGGCGAAGGCAGCUCGCUGGGACGGUACUGACGCUGAGGCGCGAAAGCGUGGGGAGCAAACAGG
rnacentral:rRNA from 1 species